UACCCCUGGCAAUGGGCAAAAAGACACCUCAUUGGUGGUUUUGUUUUUAUAUCAGUCAGGGGCAGAGCAGAUGGCAGUCCUACCUUGAUGCCUGGCUUGGUGGCCAAAGUUGUUUUAUGCCUAGGACACAUAA
rnacentral:snoRNA from 1 species